UACAGAGGGUGCAAGCGUUGUCCGGAAUCACUGGGCGUAAAGGGCGCGUAGGCGGCCCGAUAAGUAGGGGGUGAAAUCUUGCGGCUCAACCGCAAGGCUGCCUUCUAGACUGUCGGGCUAGAGUCCGGAAGAGGCGAGUGGAAUUCCCGGUGUAGCGGUGAAAUGCGCAGAUAUCGGGAGGAACACCUAUGGCGAAGGCAGCUCGCUGGGACGGCACUGACGCUGAGACGCGAAAGCGUGGGGAGCAAACAGG
rnacentral:rRNA from 1 species